UACGAGGGGGGCAAGCGUUGUUCGGAUUUACUGGGCGUAAAGCGCGUGUAGGCGGGCUGGAAAGUUGGGGGUGAAAUCCCGAGGCUCAACCUCGGAACUGCCUCCAAAACUUCCAGCCUGGACUCAAGCAGAGGCAAGUGGAAUUGCGAGUGUAGAGGUGAAAUUCGUAGAUAUUCGCAGGAACACCAGUGGCGAAGGCGACUUGCUGGGCUUGUGGUGACGCUGAGACGCGAAAGCGUGGGGAGCAAACAGG
rnacentral:rRNA from 1 species